rnacentral:misc_RNA from 1 species
GUUACCAUACGGUCAGAUGUCAUUGUGGGGUGCCACUGUUAUUACGAACUUGUUGUCAGCCAUCCCAUGGAUCGGUACUGACUUCGUUCAAUUUGUCU